rnacentral:lncRNA from 1 species
UACCUGGAUGGGUGCGGCACCUCCUCCCGAUCCCAACGGCGGUUCAAGCUCCGUCGGGGAGGGCUGGAGCCGCCCGAACGAGCGCCGGCACCGGCGGCCUCCCUCUGGACCGCGGGCGAGCACGAGGGAGAUGAAGACGACGACCCCUGUGCAUGGGACCCGCCCGUCAGCCUCACAUGCGUUGACCAGGCGCUGAUGACGUGGAUAAGUGGACACGCAGUUCCGGUCGCUACGUCUUCAUAAGCUGAAAGCGUAUUCUCUAGGUGCUUCAGCUCAAAGUAUGUUUUCGUUAUUCUGAAAGCGUAUUUCCUCUCUGUUUCAGCCAGGAAUGCAUUUUCCUCUCUGGAAACCGUAUUUCUUAGAAAGGCGCGUUCUGUUUUUCCGGCUGAGGGCCUGUUUGUGAUGCUUUUAUUUACAAAUGGGUCCCUGGCAGAAAAACUAUCAUAUCUUUUUGCUCCCAACUCCAAAUGAGGUGAUUCCAAAGCCCAUUUCUUCAUCUCGUCGAGCCCGUUCUGUUGAUACCAUUUUCACCAUGUUUUAACAUUCUGAAAAUGCCCAUUUUCCUUUACGCUUAAUCAUCCCCCUCCGAGCAAGAACGUUUUCCUGCGAUUCGUUCCGCGAGCUUCUCGCACUUUCUCCCGGUGAUUUCUUCCACCCCAGGCAAGCCACAACCACCAUUUGCAUGAUAGUCAUGCAGUAGCAUUGGUUUUCAACUUGAAUCUUUAAUAACUGUAUGUUUGUUUUGCUACUGCUGUCGUUAUUUCGGUUAUGCUUGUGGAUCAGUGGUUACCAUCAUGCUAUGUUUUCUUGCACUCUGUUAUCAUGUUCUACCUGAUAGUAUUAUUUUCAUAUUGGUCAUGCUUGAUAGUAGUACAUGUUGGGUUGGUCAUGUUCUUCGGUGCAUGACUAACGUCGGUUACUGAGUAUCGUUAAUAUGCAUUGUUCCUUUGCUGUUAGUUGGUUAGGUGUUUACUUGGUAAUAUUAUUGAUGUGUUCUUGUGAUAUUCAUGCUCGUCAUUAUGCCAUGCUCAGUUGGAUAUGAUUCAUUGUUGAUAUGGUUGAUAGUUAUGUUGUACCCUCAUGCUUAUGUUGAUACCAUGCUCAUGCAUUGUAAGUGCAUCAUGUUAUUUUAUCAUGGCUCAGCAUACUUGCAUUCAAGUUUAACCGGAUUAAAUUGAACUUGGACAACUGUUGGCUGAGUCAUGGAGCCACCAUAUCGAGCUGACCAGGUCAACCACGCUUACCUUUAUGGGAAGGUCCUAACUGGGUCUAUUGUCAUGCCUCUCGCCGGUGCCUCCAAUGAGGGAAGGUUAUGGGCGCGCGCUACCCUGAUCAGGUAAGCGGACAUAAGCCUUGUGUGCCCGUUGUUGUUGUACCCGGGUUGUCCCCAAUUGGGACCGUUUUUGUUUUGCCACGACGGUGGCCGUUGGUGCCUUUUGUAGGCACGGGGCCACCCAGGACUUAUCCCAGAGGGGAGUUUGUCGGAGUGGCCAGGAGGGUGUCAUGGCAGUAGGACGGUUUUGUCGGAACGCCACUGGGCCACCCGAAUGGGAGUGCGAGGCCAUGGGUUCCAUGGUGUGGGUACAGUGUACUAACCUCUGCAGAGUGUAUAUUAAAUCUAUCGAUAGCCGUGCCCGCGGAUAAGGGCCUAGUUCAUGUCGGUCACACUAUGGGUCAACAGUAAUAAUAAUGAUGUGUUUAAUAACAACCCCGGUUCGAUGAUGAGAUAAGCUGGUUAUGUGAUCCGUGAAUGAUCACCGUUUGGUUACGAGGUAACCCGUUGAGCCCAGAGUGGUUCCGUUUGUGAUCCGUGAAUGAUCACCGUUUGGUUACGAGGUAACCCAUUGAGCCAAGAGUGGUUCCGUUUGUGAUCCGUGAAUGAUCAUCGUGGUAUCGAGGAUACCGAGUUGUUGGAUAUUCGUGAUGUUGUGCGAGAAUCGUGGGAGAAAGAUCAAGCUCCUUGUGGUCAUUUAAUGAUUACACGGUAUUGUUUAUACCAAGCUUGAUUUGAUCCUAAGAUGAUCGUGUGAUGUCCGAGGUUGGUAAGUGAUGCAUGUGAUGGUUAUGAGGUAACCUGAUCAGAAUAAGUGGUGCAUAUAGUUUCAUCAUGUUGCAUGCUAGUAUCGUCAUAUUUAUAUGUUCAUGCCAUGCUCAUAUAGUUCUAGCUGUAUCAUGUUCAUGUUGUUCAUGCCAUGUUAUCCUGAUGAUCUCAUGAUAAUUCCUGCUUAACCUGUAAUUGCCAUGCAUGUUGUUGUUUGUCUUGAAUGCUUCUGGUUAUUGUGAGCUUGCAAGUACAUUCAAUAUACUGACCUGCGUGUCAUGCAAGUUUGCAGGUCAUGUCAUGAUUGCUUGAUUGCUUGUCGUGGUUUCCAUUCAUGCGAUCUAGGAUAAGCAUUCCAGCCAGAGUCCCUGCGGAGUGGAGUUCAUCACCGUCUUCGCUGUUCCGCUGCUAGAGUUAUUCCGCUGCAUUGUGUUGUUCUGCUGCUUGCAUGGAGCAACUGUGGCAGGCGUAGUAUCGUCGUGCUGAUGUAAUCCCCUUGUAUCAUUAUAGCCUGUAAUAAAGAGCUGAUUUGUUCUAUCUAAGCAGUGCCGUAUUCCAGAAGACUUCACCUCGAUCUCUGGGCUGGAAUACGGGGCGUUUCGGUAUUCUCUGAGCCGGAGUGCCACAAAUUGCUAACAUGAUUCGGACAUACUUAAGCAUCGCUACGGGUGAGAAAGUCUCUUUCAUAGUCAACUCCUUGAACUACUCGAAAACCUUUCGCGACAAGUCAAGUUUUGUAGACAGUAAC